rnacentral:rRNA from 1 species
AGUGAACGCUGGCGGUAGGCCUAACACAUGCAAGUCGAACGGCAGCACAGAGGAGCUUGCUCCUUGGGUGGCGAGUGGCGGACGGGUGAGGAAUACAUCGGAAUCUACUCUGUCGUGGGGGAUAACGUAGGGAAACUUACGCUAAUACCGCAUACGACCUACGGGUGAAAGCAGGGGACCUUCGGGCCUUGCGCGAUUGAAUGAGCCGAUGUCGGAUUAGCUAGUUGGCGGGGUAAAGGCCCACCAAGGCGACGAGCCGUAGCUGGUCUGAGAGGAUGAUCAGCCACACUGGAACUGAGACACGGUUCAGACUCCUACGGGAGGCAGCAGUGGGGAAUAUUGGACAAUGGGCGCAAGCCUGAUCCAGCCAUGCCGCGUGGGUGAAGAAGGCCUUCGGGUUGUAAAGCCCUUUUGUUGGGAAAGAAAAGCAGUCGGUUAAUACCCGAUUGUUCUGACGGUACCCAAAGAAUAAGCACCGGCUAACUUCGUGCCAGCCGCCGCAGUAA